CUCAGAUAACACAGAAGCUAGGAUUACAUAGUUAAGUCAACCCGUUCCUAAUGUGAAGGACGACCUCUCUGAAAAAAUGCAACCCAGUCUGACCAUAUUUUGCAGCGUUAUCAGCAAAAAAAGUGGUUUUGAGCGAGGUGGUCCACCUUCCCUGUGGCCAACAUGGUUGCUGUAUGGACAGUGGAGAGGACAUGGACAUCUCGUUUGUCAUGCCACUUUACUGCCAGCUGUUGACCUUUCUCCUUGAAUUCCAUCUCCUCUCUGUAUCUUCCUGCAUCCGAAUGCCGGCAUCCCCUUCCUGUUUGACCUGACUGUGCCUCAGGCCCCUGUGCUGUUGAAGAGCAGAUGCUGGAAGAGUGUGGGACUGCUGUACCAAUUGUCCACAUACAAAGUGUGUCCCUUGCCGAGAUGAGGAGCCAGCAUGGUCAUCACCACGGACCCGGACAUCCCAAGCCCCUCAUAAUGUUGGAUGUCAGUGGUGGACCCUGUGUAAACUAUAAUGUCCUGGACUAAUCCUGUCUUCACGUCGCACAUGACAAAGAACUUGACACCAAACCUUUGCCUUUUGGAGGGAAUAUAUUGACGGAACGACAGUCUACCCUUCCAUAACAUCAGGGACUCAUCAAUGCAUAGGUCCAUGUAUGGCACAAAGACCAAACCAAAUGCUGAUGUCAGGCUGCUCCUCUGUCAGAAUCGACUUGAAGCACUCUUUCUCAGAUGGAAAUGGCAAGGGGCGUUGCACUCCAGACUGGGACUCAUCAAAGCAAACAGCAGGGCCAGGAGAGGUGAAAUGGCUGGCAGCCUUCCAGCUACCACAGAACUCCUGCACUUCAUCCACUGUCUGUCUGCCUCCAUCACCACCAACAUCUUCAAAGGGACCUGGGACUUACAUACUAUAAACUGACCAAACUCAUCUUGUCUUCUCUUAUUAUCUUUGGUUUCUGUGAGAGAGAAAAAGCAUGGCAGCGUGCAGAAACUACCCAUUACUUUAGAUUUCUAGGGAGUGUUUUACUCAAUUAUUUCGAUCAAUGGUGAGCUC
ensembl:lncRNA